rnacentral:lncRNA from 1 species
GCGAAGAGCACCCAAUGGUCUCAGUGAAAUUCUGUUUCCCUUCACAAAUGUGCUGGAAGAGAAUUAAUCCAUUCCUGCCUCCUAGCAACCACUUACCAUUACAACUAAGGCCAAGACAGCAAGUAAACAUCCGCUGUCUGCUGCUCCACUCAGAAUUGUCACAGGGGAAAGGAUGCUGUCAUAAAUCACUACGAAAUGGUGUUGAAUUCUAUUUACACCGCACGCAGUUGCAGAAAGCCGACAGCUCCCAAAGGCAAGCUUCACUGGGGAAGAGCUGUUUGACAAAGGACUCGGGUUGACCCUGUUUCAGCACAGAUUUCUGUGAAACCAUCUGCAGCAGACAGACG